GUUUCUUUGUUUGUUUGUUUGUUUCUGUUUUUAACUUUAUUCAAUUUUAUAUUACAUUCUUUCUUGAGAAUCACUCCCUUUAAAAUUUUCUGGAAAUGUUUAUCAAGAAUUAGUCUUCUUUAAAAUCAUAAUUCAUGCUUUCACUCAUACCUGUCCUCAAAUACGUCACUACAGGCAAAAAUAAUGUACUGAUGGACAGUUGUCUGAAUAUGAGCCAGCAGUGUGCCCAGGUGGCCAAGAAGGCCAAUGGCAUCCUGGCUUGUAUCAGGAAUGGUGUGGUGAGCAGGACGAGGGAAGUCAUCCUGCCCCUGUACUCGGCAUUGGUGAGGCCUCACCUUGAGUACUGUGUUCAGUUUUGGGAACCUCAGUACAAGAAAGACAUGGAGGUACUGGAGCAGGUCCAGAGAAGGGCAAUGAGGCUAGUGAAAGGCUUGGAAAAUCAGCCCUAUGAGGAGAGGCUGAGGGAGCUGGGGCUGUUUAGUCUGGUGAAGAGGAGGCUGAGGGGAGACCUUAUUACUUUCUUCCAGUACCUGAAAAGUGCUUACAGUGAGAGCAGGGUAGGUCUCUUCUCACUGGUGACAAGUGACAAGACAAGGGGAAAUGGCCUCAAGUUGCGCCAAGGCAAGUUUAGGUUGGACGUUAGGAAACACUUCUUUACAGAAGGGGUGGUUAAGCACUGGAGUAGGCUCCCCAGGGAGGUGGUUGAGUCACCAUCCCUGGAUGUGUUUAAGAGCUGUUUGGAUGUGGUGCUCAGAGAUAUGAUUUAGCAGAGGGUUGUUAGAGUUAGGGUUCUAUGGUUAGGCUGCGGUUGGACUUGAUGAUCUCUGAGGUCCUUUCCAACCUGAGUAAUUCUAUGAUUCUAUGAUUCUAUGAUUUUGUGAAUACAGAAGACUUAUUUCAAAGAAACAAUGAGUACUACUACUUUUCCACUGACGUGUUCCCUUUGUGCUAUUGUAGCUGACUUCAUUCUAUUCCCACUCUUU
ensembl:lncRNA